rnacentral:ribozyme from 1 species
UGCCCAACAACUCCUAUCCCUACCUCCUCGUGGUACUGGCCGGGAUACGAGUAACCUUGGGGAAGAUCGUGUAACUAACCCCGCCCGGUGGGAACUUUGGUCGUAUGCUGACAGGGAAGG